UACGUAGGGGGCUAGCGUUGUCCGGAAUCAUUGGGCGUAAAGCGCGUGUAGGCGGUUCGGUAAGUCCGCUGUGAAAGUCGGGGGCUCAACCCUCGGAUGCCGGUGGAUACUGUCGGACUAGAGUACGGAAGAGGCGAGUGGAAUUCCUGGUGUAACGGUGAAAUGCGCAGAUAUCGGGAAGAACACCCGUGGCGAAGGCGGCUCUCUGGGACGGUACUGACGCUGAGACGCGAAAGCGUGGGGAGCGAACAGG
rnacentral:rRNA from 1 species